CCUACGGGGGGCAGCAGUAGGGAAUUUUCGUCAAUGGGCGCAAGCCUGAACGAGCAAUGCCGCGUGAGUGAGGAAGGUCUUCGGAUCGUAAAGCUCUGUUGCGGGGGAAAAAGGAAGCGGAAAGGAAAUGGUCUGCUUUUGAUGGUACCCCGCCAGAAAGUCACGGCUAACUACGUGCCAGCAGCCGCGGUAAUACGUAGGUGGCGAGCGUUAUCCGGAAUGAUUGGGCGUAAAGGGUGCGCAGGCGGCGCGUCAAGUCUGAAGUAAAAGGUACAGGCUCAACCUGUGCAGGCUUUGGAAACUGG
rnacentral:rRNA from 1 species